UUCGUUGUUAAAGUUGAUUGGGGACUAUGAUCCUAUAUUUUUGGUGUUUAUUUUGGAUGGUCCGGAGUUUUUGGCUGCAACUAUGUUGGACAGAGAUAUGCUUGCUAUGGCUGUAAAUUGGUACCAUGUCGGUUGGUUUUGCUUGGCAAGAUUUGUGACGAUGCGUCGGACAAACAACAUUGGGAAAAUAUACAGCCUUGAGCCUUGGU